UACGAAGGGGGCUAGCGUUGAUCGGAAUCACUGGGCGUAAAGCGCACGUAGGCGGACUCUUAAGUCGGUGGUGAAAUCCUGGAGCUCAACUCCAGAACUGCCUUCGAUACUGGGAGUCUUGAGUCCGGGAGAGGUGAGUGGAACUGCGAGUGUAGAGGUGAAAUUCGUAGAUAUUCGCAAGAACACCAGUGGCGAAGGCGGCUCACUGGCCCGGUACUGACGCUGAGGUGCGAAAGCGUGGGGAGCAAACAGG
rnacentral:rRNA from 1 species